CGGCACCGCAGCGGCAGGCGGCGGCGCGGGGAGGCGGUUGCGUGCUUGCGCCGCUGCGGAGCGGGGCACCUGUGCGGGCGACGGGGCGGGCUCUGCCGCCGCUGUGCCCCGAGCGCGGGGCGGCUGCCUCCCGCCUUCCUUCUCUCUCGGCGCAGCCGAGGCGAGCUUUCUACCUGGAAAAUACUGGAAAUGGUGAAGUAGCUAUGCAAGGUGGA
rnacentral:lncRNA from 1 species